UACAAAAAAACUUCUUCACAUACUCCCUGCACUUCUUGAUAAGGUUAUUCUAACUUAUUUUGUGUAUGUUUCUAAUAUGGUGAAUGACCUCUUCUUUCAUUUAUAUUCUUCAUAUAUUCUUACAUUUUCUAAGUGAGAAUUAGCGGAAUAACAUAGUUAUUGUUAAAUGUCCUUCAUAUAUGCCAUUUUACUGAACUUUUUUUUAUUAUAAUACUUUUUUAGUUUAAUCACAUAUGUUUUACAGGGAUAUCUUCAAAUCUACAAAUAAUAAUGUUAUCUUCACUUGUCCAAAAUGUACAUACAGCUUAUUUCUAUUUCACUCUUAUUGCAUUAACCAGAACUUACAAAACAUUACAUGAUAAUGUGAUUUUGAGCAGAAUUAUCUAUUUUUAAACCUUUCCAUGUGACAAAAUGGAAAUAGUUUAAACACUUCCUAACUCACAUAUAAUUAAAUUCAAAACUAUGGGAGAAAUGAUCCUAAGAGAAGCUUGGAAGGUGGGAGGGAGACAAGGAUAUUCAGGAAUCUACAUAUGGGAAACUGAGAAGGAAGAGACACAGGGAAAAAGCUGGGGUCUGACAAUGUUAGCACGAAUGAGUAUACCAGACACUUCCCUGAAACCAGAUCUGGAGAGAGAAGUAAAGACUGAGUGAGAACGUCAGAGACAGCGUCGUGAAUCGGAUAUAAAGGCAAGGUGGCAGGCGCUGAGGAAGGAGAGAGUGGAUCAUAUACAACAAAUUUUGUCUUCCAUAUGAUUUCGCUUGGGAUCAAGCUUCAAAAUACAUAUGACAUGUUGUAUGGUGCUAAUUUUUGCUGAUAGCCAGAAUAAUGAGUUCACAUAUUUGAUCUCUGUAUUCCUAUUGUGAAGCAAGGGCAAAAUUUCAUUGUCACCAUCAUAGGCAUGGUCCAUUUAAUUCAUUAUGGGAAUGGGAGGGACAGUUUUUCUGAGGCAUUUGUGAUAAGAAUAAAGAUGAGGCUUAGAGUCAAAGCCACAAAUAAUUGAGAAAGACAGAAUGAGGUUUUUCUACAAGGACAGCUUGAAUUUUUUAAAUAGAAUCAAUGUAUUGGCAGAAUUUACUGGAAGAGGAGAGUUAAUUAGAAUUGACUACACAAUCACACUGAGAUAUACUUUCAUAAUAGAUGUCAGACCUGCAGAUAGAACUUGUACCCUAGAUUUUUUAAUUAAGUUGAGGUUAUUCUUCUGACAGAGGGAAGGCUCUCAAGAUGCAGGAAGAUGCUCCCCCCAAUUGACAGGCCUCUGAGAAGUUUAGUCUCUUUAUAGCUGGGAUGCAAGCACAAACAAAAAUUUACGUUCAUUUCUGGACUUCCAAAAGAGGCACUUGAAAUCCACCUCUGAAAAAACAGUCCUGAAAUCCAGGCUUUUGAUUGCAACUUCUGGGCCUUUGUGAUAAAAAGGGUGUUCUAAAUCCCAACAGCUUCCCUUUAAACAUGAAGGAAGCAGGCUUGGAGGUCAGAGCACAGUGAUUUUACUAUCAGCCACAGAGGAGGAAAGAUGUCAGAUAUGGCAGAGGUGUGUCCCCCACAGCAGGAGAAUGUAAUAGCUGAAACAUUCGCACUUUGUAUUCCAAGUACUUUCUGUACUUUAACUCAUUCAUGCUCAUAGAAACGCUUGGCACAGAUAAGGAAACUGACAGUCCGAGAGGUUAAGAAAACUUGUCCCAGGUUACACAGCUUGUAAGCCACGGCUCCGUAUUUGAUCCUCUGGGAAUUUGCUCCAGUCUGUGCUCUUAACUAUUGCCCCAUGCUGCUGUAAAAGCUGGUCCUGGGCUUGGGAGCAGGAGCUUGGAGAGUAUUGGCAGGAACAAUAUGAAAUCCAAACACUCAGAGGGGAUGGGGGAAAAAAUCUCCAGUUCAGAAAUUCCAAAGCAGAGGAGGCUGUGUAAAGAUGGCCUCACCGAGGGUCCCCACGCCCCGCCCCUACCCCUGCCGCACCCACGCUGACGCCGGAGCAGUAGACACAUUGGCAUGAAACGUUUCUUCAGAAGCAGGGCUUGAAGUGCCAUGCCCUCUGCCUCCCACGACCUCACGCCCCUGCAUGCCCAUGGGGCAGCCUGAGUGUCACUGGGCCAUCAGGUGCUCCUGGAAUUCAGAAAGGGGGGAG
ensembl:lncRNA